rnacentral:rRNA from 1 species
UUUCGUAGACCGGUUUAUUGGUCGUGUCUUUGUACGUACUGUAUUAUUGGUUUCUCCUUUCUGACGAAUCUUAAUGCCAUUAAUUUGGUGUUUUGGGAAUCAGGACUGUUACUUUGAAAAAUUAGAGUGUUUAAAGCAGGCUCACGCUUGAAUACAUUAGCAUGGAAUAACGAAAUAGGACGUUUGAUUUUAUUUUGUUGGUUUCUAGGAUCGACGUAAUGAUUAAUAGGGAUAGUUGGGGCAUUAGUAUCCAAUUGUCAGAGGUGAAAUUCUUGGAUUUAUUGAAGACUAACUACUGCGAAAGCAUUUGCCAAGGAUGUUUUCAUUAAUCAAGAACGAAAGUUAGGAGAUCGAAGACGAUCAGAUACCGUCGUAGUCUUAACCAUAAACUAUGCCGACUAGGGAUCGGAUGAUGUUAAUUUUUUUAAUGACUCAUUCGGCGCCUUACG